GAUGAAGAACGCAGCGAAAUGCGAUAAGUAAUGUGAAUUGCAGAAUUCAGUGAAUCAUCGAAUCUUUGAACGCACAUUGCGCCCGCCAGUAUUCUGGCGGGCAUGCCUGUUCGAGCGUCAUUUCAACCAUCAAGCCCUGCUUGCGUUGGGGUCCUGCGGCUACCCGCAGGCCCUGAAAACCAGUGGCGGGCUCGCUAGUCACACCGAGCGCAGUAAUACAUCUCGCUUUGGGCGUGCGGCGGGUUCUUGCCGUUAAACACCCCCUUUUUACCAAGGUUGACCUCGGAUCAGGUAGGAAUACCCGCUGAACUUAAGCAUAUCAAUAAGCGGAGGA
rnacentral:misc_RNA from 1 species